rnacentral:rRNA from 1 species
CCUACGGGAGGCAGCAGUAGGGACUCUUCGGCAAUGGGCGAAAGCCUGACCGAGCAACGCCGCGUGAAUGACGAAGGCCUUCGGGUUGUCACAUUCUGUUAUUAGGGAAGUAAGGUGAUAGGAGGAAAUGACUAUCAAUUGACGGUACCUUAUGAGACAGCCACGGCUAACUACGUGCCAGCAGCAGCGGUAAUACGUAGGUGGCAAGCGUUAUCCGGAAUUAUUGGGCGUAAAGAGCGCGCAGGUAGUUAAUUAAGUCUGAUGUGAAAGCCCACGGAUUAACCGUGGAGGGUCAUUGGAAACUGGUUGACUUGAGUGCAGAAGAGGGAAGUGGAAUUCCAGGUGUAGCGGUGAAAUGCGUAGAGAGAUGGAGGAACACCAGUGGCGAAGGCGGCUUCCUGGUCUGCAACUGACACUGAGGCGCGAAAGCGUGGGGAGCAAACAGGAUUAGAUACCCUUGUAGUC